UGAGGAAUAUUGGUCAAUGGGCGAGAGCCUGAACCAGCCAAGUCGCGUGAGGGAAGACGGUCCUACGGAUUGUAAACCUCUUUUGUCGGGGAGCAAUAAGGCGUACGAGUACGCAGAUGCGAGUACCCGAAGAAAAAUGCAUCGGCUAACUCCGUGCCAGCAGCCGCGGUAAUACGGAGGAUGCGAGCGUUAUCCGGAUUUAUUGGGUUUAAAGGGUGCGCAGGCGGAAAGUGCAAGUCAGCGGUCAAACGACGGGGCUCAACCCCGUCUCGCCGUUGAAACUGUCUUUCUAGAGUGAGCGAGAAGUGUGCGGAAUGCGUGGUGUAGCGGUGAAAUGCAUAGAUAUCACGCAGAGCUCCGAUUGCGAAGGCAGCAUACCGGCGCUCAACUGACGCUCAUGCACGAAAGCGUGGGUAUCGAACAGGAUUAGAUACC
rnacentral:rRNA from 1 species